GACGAACGCGGGCGGCGUGCCUAAUACAUGCAAGUAGGACGCACAGUUUAUACCGUAGCUUGCUACACCAUAGACUGUGAGUUGCGAACGGGUGAGUAACGCGUAGGUAACCUGCCUAUUAGAGGGGGAUAACUAUUGGAAACGAUAGCUAAUACCGCAUAACAGUAUGUAACACAUGUUAGAUGCUUGAAAGAUGCAAUUGCAUCGCUAGUAGAUGGACCUGCGUUGUAUUAGCUAGUAGGUAGGGUAAUGGCCUACCUAGGCGACGAUACAUAGCCGACCUGAGAGGGUGAUCGGCCACACUGGGACUGAGACACGGCCCAGACUCCUACGGGAGGCAGCAGUAGGGAAUCUUCGGCAAUGGGGGGAACCCUGACCGAGCAACGCCGCGUGAGUGAAGAAGGUUUUCGGAUCGUAGAGCUCUGUUGUUAAGGAAGAACGAGUGUGAAAAUGGAAAGUUCAUACUGUGACGGUACUUAACCAGAAAGGGACGGCUAACUACGUGCCAGCAGCCGCGGUAAUACGUAGGUCCCGAGCGUUGUCCGGAUUUAUUGGGCGUAAAGCGAGCGCAGGCGGUUAGAAAAGUCUGAAGUGAAAGGCAGUGGCUCAACCAUUGUAGGCUUUGGAAACUGUUUAACUUGAGUGCAGAAGGGGAGAGUGGAAUUCCAUGUGUAGCGGUGAAAUGCGUAGAUAUAUGGAGGAACACCGGUGGCGAAAGCGGCUCUCUGGUCUGUAACUGACGCUGAGGCUCGAAAGCGUGGGGAGCGAACAGG
rnacentral:rRNA from 1 species